UACGGAGGGUGCGAGCGUUGUCCGGAAUCACUGGGCGUAAAGGGCGCGUAGGCGGCGCGACAAGUCAAUGGUGAAAGCCCGAGGCUCAACUUCGGGUCGGCCACUGAUACUGUUGGGCUUGAGCACUGUAGAGGCAGGUGGAAUUCCGGUUGUAGCGGUGGAAUGCGUAGAGAUCCGGAAGAACACCGGUGGCGAAGGCGGCCUGCUGGGCAGUAGCUGACGCUGAGGCGCGACAGCGUGGGGAGCAAACAGG
rnacentral:rRNA from 1 species